AUUUUCCUUUUUUUUUUUUUUUCAGGGUGUAUGCAUGUGUGGAAUUGGAUUGCAGCCCUUUGGUGCCCUGCAGUGAAUCUUCAGAUUUCACCAUUUUCUUAGUCAUUAAUGUAAAAAAAAUAAAAAAUAGAGAAUUAAAAUCCCAACGAGAUGCACAGCUCAAUUCUAGUAACAUCUUGAUUUAGACAGCAGAUGUAGCUUAUGGAAGAGGACAUAUUCAGGUUUGAAACAUAAAUUUUAGACAACAAAUUCUUCUCAAAUGAAACAGAAGCACAGGCUGCUUACACAAGAAUGACGGUUCAGAACUCCAUACUUACCUAAAGCAAUUACACAUUGUCAUGGAUGAAUGAGAAAGGAGCGCAAAUGAGAAAAGGCAUAGAUCUGACUAUGGUUCCUUCUUUAUCACACACAACAGGAAAACGGGGGAUUUUCAACCAAAAAUUGAAGUUGUUAGCAACAUUAGACUACCAGCAGCAGCCAAAGAUUGUAAUUAUCAUAAAUCACUCCAAAAGCAGGCUUAUCAAGCAGAAUCUAAAAAGCCAAAGCACACAUGGGGUAUUGGCUACAGUCGAAAUGUUAUGAUAAAAAUGCACAUAGAAAGAAACAGGGGUUUCAUUCCCUUGGCUAUGUGUAAGGAAAAUGGUAUAUUCUAGAGGAGGCAAGAAAGUUCUGGAAGGAUUGC
rnacentral:misc_RNA from 1 species